GAUUUUCGCAAUGCCCGAAAGGGUGACGAAGCGACGCCGCGUGUGGGAAGAAGGCCUUCGGGUUGUAAACCACUGUCGGGAGUUAAGAAAUGUAAGAAUGUUAAUAGCGUUCUUACUUGACUAAGGCUCCGGAGGAAGCCACGGCUAACUCUGUGCCAGCAGCCGCGGUAAUACGGAGGCGGCAAGCGUUGUUCGGAAUUAUUGGGCGUAAAGAGCACGUAGGCGGCUUUGUAAGUCGGUUGUGAAAACCUUCCGCUCAACGGGAGAACGGCAGCCGAUACUGCAUAGCUUGAGUGCGGGAGGGGAGAGUGGAACUUCUGGUGGAGCGGUGAAAUGCGUAGAUAUCAGAAGGAACGCCGGCGGCGAAAGCGGCUCUCUGGCCCGUAACUGACGCUGAGUGUGCGAAAGCUAGGGGAGCAAACGGGAUUAGAUACCCCGGUAGUCCUAGCCGUAAACGAUGGGCACUAAGUAGAGGGGUUUUAAUC
rnacentral:rRNA from 1 species